CGGGGAAGCUUGCUUCCCCGGGCGUCGACCGGCGCACGGGUGAGUAACGCGUAUCCAACCUGCCUCUGACUGAGGGAUAACCCGUCGAAAGUCGGCCUAAUACCUCAUGGCAUCGUCUGCGGGCAUCCAACGACGAUUAAAGAUUUCAUCGGUCAGGGAUGGGGAUGCGUCUGAUUAGCUUGUUGGCGGGGUAACGGCCCACCAAGGCGACGAUCAGUAGGGGUUCUGAGAGGAAGGUCCCCCACAUUGGAACUGAGACACGGUCCAAACUCCUACGGGAGGCAGCAGUGAGGAAUAUUGGUCAAUGGGCGGAAGCCUGAACCAGCCAAGUAGCGUGCAGGAAGACGGCCCUAUGGGUUGUAAACUGCUUUUAUGCGGGGAUAAAGUGAGGGACGUGUCCUUCAUUGCAGGUACCGCAUGAAUAAGGACCGGCUAAUUCCGUGCCAGCAGCCGCGGUAAUACGGAAGGUCCGGGCGUUAUCCGGAUUUAUUGGGUUUAAAGGGAGCGUAGGCCGUGGAUUAAGCGUGUUGUGAAAUGCAGGUGCUCAACGUCUGCACUGCAGCGCGAACUGGUCCACUUGAGUGUGCGCAACGCAGGCGGAAUUCGUCGUGUAGCGGUGAAAUGCUUAGAUAUGACGAAGAACUCCGAUUGCGAAGGCAGCUUGCGGGAGCACAACUGACGCUGAAGCUCGAAAGUGCGGGUAUCGAAC
rnacentral:rRNA from 1 species